GGGCUUGACCGAUUUUCUAUUUUCUUUUUGUAGAUGACUGUUUGUUGAUAGAUUGGACUACCAUUUGGAGUGCCUUCAGCUUUAGGUCGAUCCUGGAGGACUACUAUGGAGCCUCAGGGCAGAAGGUAAAUAUUCUCAAGUCGGUAGUGUCCUUUAGCCUGAGGACACCGAUACGGCUGCAUCAUUUGAUUAGGAAGAGCCUAGGGGUUGCUAAGCACGGUGGGACUUUGCAACACCUAGACGUGCCCA
rnacentral:lncRNA from 1 species